GCAUAAACAUAUGUGGUUUAGCUUCUGAGAGCAAGACUUCUUUACAGGCAGAUUUGGCAUUUAAGCAAUCAAUCAAGCACACUUCUUUAAUGUUAGGCAGAUAAUUAUAACGCAGCAAAAUUGACCUAUUUUCAUCCAAUCAAAUAAAUUUCAAGGAAUAUAUCAGGGUUUUUUUUUCUUUCUUUCUUACUAGCUGAACAAAGAGUCUACCUACAGGAUUAAAUAAAGCAUGUUCCAGAAUAUUCAGCCUGGAAAAUUCUGGCAUCCACACAGAAUCAAAGGAGAAUAAUUUCUUGGAGUAAUAUUUUGAAAUUUGUCAAGCUGAGGUUCUGGAGUCUUCCAUAAGUCAAAACAGCAUAUCCAGCUGAUGAGUCAUGCACAUUCCAAUGGCUGACUGACCAAAGGAAGAGGAAAGAAGUUGCCAAGCAACCGGCUCUCAACUUGGAUGGACAAUGUGACGGAUUGUUUUGGAAACUUGAGGAACUGAAACUUAUAUUGGGGUGAAAAGCCCGGGAACUUCAGUACUGGCUUUUCACCACUAGUGCCAAGAUGGUGUAUCUAAAUAAAUUUGUUCUUUGAGGAAAA